rnacentral:rRNA from 1 species
GACGAACGCUGGCGGCGUGCUUAACACAUGCAAGUCGUACGGAAAGGCCCCUUUUGGGGUACUCGAGUGGCGCACGGGUGAGUAACACGUGAGUAACCUGCCCUUGACUUCGGGAUAACUUCAGGAAACUGGGGCUAAUACCGGAUAGGAAUCCUUGCUGCAUGGUGGGGGUUGGAAAGCUUCGGCGGUUUUGGAUGGACUCGCGGCUUAUCAGCUUGUUGGUGGGGUAGUGGCUUACCAAGGCGUUGACGGGUAGCCGGCCUGAGAGGGCGACCGGCCACAUUGGGACUGAGAUACGGCCCAGACUCCUACGGGAGGCAGCAGUGGGGAAUAUUGCACAAUGGGCGGAAGCCUGAUGCAGCAACGCCGCGUGCGGGAUGACGGCCUUCGGGUUGUAAACCGCUUUCAGCAGGGGCGAAGCUUGUGGUGACGGUACCUGCAGAAGAAGCACCGGCUAACUACGUG